CAGCCGCCGCGGGAAUACAGAGGGUGCGAGCGUUAAUCGGAUUUACUGGGCGUAAAGCGUGCGUAGGCGGCUUCUUAAGUCGGAUGUGAAAUCCCUGAGCUUAACUUAGGAAUUGCAUUCGAUACUGGGAAGCUAGAGUUUGGGAGAGGAUGGUAGAAUUCCAGGUGUAGCGGUGAAAUGCGUAGAGAUCUGGAGGAAUACCGAUGGCGAAGGCAGCCAUCUGGCCUAAUACUGACGCUGAGGUACGAAAGCAUGGGGAGCAAACAGGAUUAGAUACCCGGGUAGUCCCUGUCUCUUAUAC
rnacentral:rRNA from 1 species